rnacentral:rRNA from 1 species
GUUGCCUGUGAAAUGAAUCUUAGUUCCCUCCUGACCCUCCUUUCUCCGGACACAAACCCUAACCCAUAUGUAAUGAGUCAAGAGCAAUUUAAAGGAGGUACAGCUCCUUUAAAAAAGGGUACAACCUCCACUAGCGGAUAAUCACCCAACUUAUUCCCAUAUUGUAGGCCUUCAAGCAGCCAUCAAUAAAGAGUGCGUCAAAGCUCCACACACAAAAAUUCAACAAUAACAUGACUCCCUCCCCACCAACAGGCUAACCUAUACUAAUAGGAGUAUCAAUGCUAAAAUGAGUAACUGGGGACUACCCCCUCAAUCAAGCGCAAACUUACAUCCCCACAUUAUUAACAGAUAUAAAUAAUACCUCAAUAAAAACAAGACCAAAGUAUUGACCCGCCCUGUUGCCCCAACUCAGGAGCGCAUAUUUAGAAAGAUUAAAAUCUGUAGAAGGAACUAGGCAAACCCAAGGCCCGACUGUUUACCAAAAACAUAGCCUUCAGCCCACCAAGUAUUGAAGGUGACGCCUGCCCAGUGACACAACGUUUAACGGCCGCGGUAUCCUA